rnacentral:rRNA from 1 species
GUGGGGAAUCUUGCGCAAUGGGCGAAAGCCUGACGCAGCCAUGCCGCGUGAAUGAUGAAGGUCUUAGGAUUGUAAAAUUCUUUCACCGGGGACGAUAAUGACGGUACCCGGAGAAGAAGCUCCGGCUAACUUCGUGCCAGCAGCCGCGGUAAUACGAAGGGGGCUAGCGUUGCUCGGAAUUACUGGGCGUAAAGGGCGCGUAGGCGGACAGCUUAGUCAGAGGUGAAAGCCCAGGGAUCAACCUUGGAAUUGCCUUUGAUACUGGCUGUCUUGAGUUUGGGAGAGGUGAGUGGAACUCCGAGUGUAGAGGUGAAAUUCGUAGAUAUUCGGAAGAACACCAGUGGCGAAGGCGACUCACUGGCCCAAUACUGACGCUGAGGCGCGAAAGCGUGGGGAGCAAACAGGAUUAGAUACCCGAGUAGUCC